AAGUCGUAACAAGGUUUCCGUAGGUGAACCUGCGGAAGGAUCAUUAACACGUAUCCAACGUUAAACCCCCCGUGAACUUUUAUUGCGAACCACGCCUUUGUUAAAAAGUAGCAAUCCCUGGUAAAUCAUCGCCGAACAGUUUUGAUUCAGGGAUCUCUGCGAAGAGAGCGGUUGUUCCUCUGCUUGUUAGUGUCUGACAGUGUCACUAGCUCUGUACGAAUGGCGCAGUCACGAUCGCUGGAGGCCGACACGGCCGGCGACCGGGUCACCGGGCAUAGACCCCCCUAUCACCUUUGCAUGAAAACGGGCCUGCGCUUAAUUGUGCGGCCACCAAACUCGAACAACUGUUAACAAUGGAUAUCUUGGUUCUC
rnacentral:misc_RNA from 1 species